UGCAGUCGAACGGUAACAGGAAGAAGCUUGCUUCUUUGCUGACGAGUGGCGGACGGGUGAGUAAUGUCUGGCAAACUGCCUGAUGGAGGGGGAUAACUACUGGAAACGGUAGCUAAUACCGCAUAACGUCGCAAGACCAAAGAGGGGGACCUUCGGGCCUCUUGCCAUCGGAUGUGCCCGGAUGGGAUUAGCUUGUUGGUGGGGUAACGGCUCACCUCAGCCACGAUCCCUAUCUGGUCUGAAACGAUGACCAGCCACACUGGAACUGAGACACGGUCCAGACUCCUACUCCAGGCAGCGUGGGGAAUAUUGCUCAAUGGGCGCGAGCCUGAUGCUGACAUGCCGCCUGCAUGAAGAAGGCCUUCGUUUUGUAAUCUACUUUCUCUGUUGAGGAAGGGAAUAAAGUUAAUACCUUUGCUCAUUGACCUUACCCGCAGAAGAACCACCGGCUAACUCCGUGCCAGCAGCCGCGGUCAUACGGAGGGGGCAAGCGUUAUUCGGAAUUACUGGGCGUAAAGCGCUCGCAGGCGGUUUGUUAAGUCAGAUGUGAAAUCCCCGGGCUCAACCUGGGAAGUUCAUUUGAAACUGGCGAGCUUGAGUGUAGUAGAGGAGAGUGGAAUUCCAGGUGUAGCGGUGAAAUGCGUAGAGAUUUGGAGGAACACCGGUGGGGAAGGCGGCCCCCUGGAUGAAGACUGACGCUGAGAGGAAGCUGGAAGCUC
rnacentral:rRNA from 1 species